GGCUAUGUAGCUCAGCUGGUCUAGAGCGCGGCACUCAUAACGCUGAGGUCGGUGGUUCAAGUCCACCCAUAGCCACCA
rnacentral:tRNA from 1 species